UGAUCCUACGGGACGCAGCAGUCGGGAAUAUUGCGCAAUGGAGGAAACUCUGACGCAGUGACGCCGCGUGCAGGAAGAAGGUUUUCGGAUUGUAAACUGCUUUAGACAGGGACGAUAAUGACGGUACCUGAGGAGGAAGCCACGGCUAACUACGUGCCAGCAGCCGCGGUAAUACGUAGGUGGCGAGCGUUGUCCGGAUUUACUGGGCGUAAAGGGAGCGUAGGCGGACUUUUAAGUGAGAUGUGAAAUACUCGGGCUCAACUUGAGUG
rnacentral:rRNA from 1 species